rnacentral:lncRNA from 1 species
UUACAAAAGAUUUCUUAACGACAUAUAAGAUUUGGACUUAUCAUGGAGAGACGUACUAUUCUACUAGGUCUAACCAAGACUGUGAAAGUAGAGAUUUUUUUGAUGCGGAAGAUGAUAUAGUUGGAUUGAUACAAGAGGCAACUAGAAUCUUAAUGUCGGAUGACAAUAUGAAAUUUAAUCAUUUAAUGCAGAAUGAGGGUCAUGAGG